GACGAACGCUGGCGGCGUGCUUAACACAUGCAAGUCGAACGGAAAGGCCCUGCUUUUGUGGGGUGCUCGAGUGGCGAACGGGUGAGUAACACGUGAGUAACCUGCCCUUGACUUUGGGAUAACUUCAGGAAACUGGGGCUAAUACCGGAUAGGAGCUCCUGCUGCAUGGGGGGGGUUGGAAAGUUUCGGCGGUUGGGGAUGGACUCGCGGCUUAUCAGCUUGUUGGUGGGGUAGUGGCUUACCAAGGCUUUGACGGGUAGCCGGCCUGAGAGGGUGACCGGCCACAUUGGGACUGAGAUACGGCCCAGACUCCUACGGGAGGCAGCAGUGGGGAAUAUUGCACAAUGGGCGGAAGCCCGAUGCAGCAACGCCGCGUGCGGGAUGACGGCCUUCGGGUUGUAAACCGCUUUCGCCUGUGACGAAGCGUGAGUGACGGUAAUGGGUAAAGAAGCACCGGCUAACUACGUG
rnacentral:rRNA from 1 species